rnacentral:lncRNA from 1 species
GUCCAGUGCAACUUGUUAUGGUAGGAAAACCAGUAAGAACUCUCAGCCCUCAUCAGUUACGACAAACAAUUACGGGGCUUGCUCAGUUAAGCAGCGCAACAUGACAUCUCCGACGAGUCUGUUCUUUGAAAACUUACCUCAUUCCUAACUCUACAGCUCCGCCAUGUGGAGACCAUCACUAGUGUGCUCAGAACAGCAGCAAAGCGGUGGAAACGUAACACAGACAAUAGGAAUGACAUUUCCAGGGCAGCACUGAAGGAGGAUAUCUGAUGGAAGUGCUGCUCUAUCUCAGUUGGACUGUCUGCCCAGCUCAGUGCCUCGCCAAUGCCUGACGCUCAGAGAAUGCCUCAGAAGAUCCAAGUGGAAGUGCAACAUGCUAAAGUGAGGAAAUCCAUACCCCAGCUCAAUUACAGCUUAGAAUUUGAUUGUUUGUUUUUCUCCUAAGGUCCCACUGGCAAAAACUGGAUCCAGGUUGAAAGUGAUGGCUAAACUGCCUCUGAGCAACCCAUACCAGCUCCUGUCUGAGCAUCUGCUGUCAGAGGCCCCUUACGUUCUGUUUCCUACCUUUUAAAGGUAGCAGCAGCAGUGACUGAGUACUGCAGUUACUUUCUCCCGGCAGCCAGCAGACCUAAAAGGCCGUCUGUUUUCUCUCCUGACUACAAUCAUUGUAAGCCCGGAGGUGCUGGAGGCACACCGCAGCACAGACACCUAUGGCUGAGGAAGCCAAAAGAAAUCUGUCUUUGUGCAUCUGACUCGUCUUUGGAGAAAAAGGGAGAGAUUGGAAGAAGUAAAAGCAAGAGGAACAAAAACAAUGCUGAAGUUCCUAAAACAAACAAACAACAAAAAAAAACCAGGUAUGUCAACAGGCAAUUUUGGGAGAUCUUAGUAUGCUUCUUUGUCGUCUUUUCAUGCGAGAUCUUUUUUCCUUAAAAUCCAUGCCCUGUCAACUAAGGCACUUAUUGAAAAAUCAAGAAUGCAAAAUGUAAGAUUGCAAAUCAUGCAAGAAUGACCAAGG